CCUACGGGAGGCAGCAGUGGGGAAUCUUGCACAAUGGGGGAAACCCUGAUGCAGCGACGCCGCGUGAGUGAAGAAGUACUUCGGUAUGUAAAGCUCUAUCGGCAGAGAAGAAAAUGACGGUACCUGGGUAAUCCGCCCCGGCUCACUACGUGCCAGCCACCGCGGUAAUACGUAGGUGGCAAGCGUUAUCCGGAUUUGCUGGGUGUAAAGGGAGCGUAGACGGCAGUGCAAGUCUGGAGUGAAAGGCGGGGGCUCAACCCCCGGAAUGCUCUGGAAACUGUAAGGCUGGAGUGCAGGAGAGGGAAGUGGAAUUCCUAGUGUAGCGGUGAAAUGCGUAGAUAUUAGGAGGAACACCAGUGGCGAAGGCGGCUUACUGGACUGUAACUGACGUUGAGGCUCGAAAGCGUGGGGAGCAAACAGGAUUAGAUACCCUAGUAGUC
rnacentral:rRNA from 1 species